ensembl:lincRNA
CCCAGGCUGGAGUGCAGUGACCGGAUCUCCGCUCACUGCAAGCUCCGCCUCCCGGGUUCACGCCAUUCUCCUGCCUCAGCCUCCUGAGUAGCUGGGACUACAGGCGCCCGCCACCACGCCCGGCUAAUUUUUUUGUAUUUUUAGUAGAGACGGGGUUUCACCGUGUUAGCCAGGAUGGUCUCGAUUUCCUGGCCUCCUGAUCUGCCUGCCUUGGCCUCCCAAAGUGCUGGGAUUACAGGCGUGAGCCACCACGCCCGGCCUGCCUGAUUCUUUAGGAAAUAGGUCUUCAGGACCCCCACACUUAAUCCUGGGAUGUGAAAGUGAUAAGGCUCAGUCAACUUAGGUGCAAUGCCUUAUCCAGGUAUGAAUGCAGUCUUUCCCUGAGCUGAAUAAAACUCAAGAAUCAAAGACUCUGUUCUUGCUUUCUCAAUCUGCUGUUGUCUCCACUCAGCUCACUUCCUAUGGAAAGGACUCAGGUAUGGGGCAGAGUCACUUCCUGCACCACACCAUCAGCAAAGCUAGCUCCUCUUGGCUGGCGCAGGCCCUCUGGCUUCCCAGCUAUGAGGUCACGCCAGCUGAGAAUUCAAUGAUCUGUCUUAACCACAGUGACUCAUGCAGCCUCUGGUUACCCUGCGGCUGGGACCCAGUUCCUCUACAGGAAGACAUAUUUUAAAUGAUUACAUGAAUGACGGAGAGUGCGCAGAGGGCUUUCAAAGAUUUGGAACAACCAGCCGGAAGCGCCAAAACUUACCCGGGAUACAACUAGAGUCCAGGAAGGAUCGCAGCCCUACUGAGAACUUGAAAGACCCCAAGUUCCAUCCUCAAAGCAUCCUCGCUGCUGCAUCAUUACAAAAUCCCCGUGAUCCACCUUUUCAAAGGUUGUGGUGCAAAUGGAUAUUGCAGCUACAAAGAUGUCAAAGAAAAUGCAACUAUCGUCAUUCAUGGAAUUGUUAUCUCCCCUUGAAGGAUACACAUAUUCUAAUUUGCUAAUCACCAUCAAAGAAACUGAAACAACUGAAUGCUUGACUCUGAUAUCUCAGCAUCCUUUACAGCAAUAGUGCAAGGGGGUGAGGGAGGGAGGCAGUGAAGUCCCAUGAAAAAAACCAAUUUCCAUAGAGUAUUCAAUUUGCCAAAACGAUGGCUCAGAGAAAGCUAAAUAAGUUGAUUAAUGUAUCUGGUAUGGACUUAUUGAGUGUUUCUUGAUUUUGGAAUGCCUUGCCUAGAUUUGAAAAUGAGCUCGGAGAUUCUAGCCCCAGAAGGAAAAUAGGUAGGGACCUUCCUUCCCAUUAGCUCAGUGGCCAAAGUCACUGGCCCUGGGAGGCCACUGUUCUGCUCAGCCCAGGCAUAGCCAGUGAACCCUCCUGAAUUCAGCAUUCCAGGCCAUUACUACCAAUCCAUCACAAUUGGCAUGCAAAUUGAAAUAAAUUUUCCCGCCCAGAGUGAAACCAACUCGCCCACUUCAUAGUGUAGACAGCCCUUUUUACCUCCACUCUAUAAAUUCUUAAAAUACCGCUGCUGCCAAUAAUAUGGGAGUGUCUUUCUGGGUCAGCUGUGGCUUUGGGCAGCAGCAUCCUACCUUGCUGGUUGUCACUGAUUGUAGCCACUUCCCACAAUCAUCAUGUAAAAGCAAAAACACAAAUGGAAAGAAAUAAGGAAAUGGAGCCCAAAUUUGUCUUGGGGAAGAAAAGCUGGGGUUGGGGGCAUUGGGCACUUCUCCUUGGCCAUCUCCUCAUAGCUUUGCCCCGACGUGAGUACAAGUUCUUGUGAGAAUUUAAAACAGAAUAUGACUGGUGCUGUAUCAAUGUCUUUUCAAAUUUCAGGUCAGAAUUUUAAAAAUCUAAAAACAAGACAUUAAAUAAUGAAAAAGAAAGCCCUUGAUUUUCCCAUUUUCUUUUGCAUUGGAUUGCAGGUUGAAGGCAACAAGAAGGAGGACAGAGUGAGUGCAGAAAGCGGGAGAAAGUUCAGGCAAGAAAGGAUAAUGCAUAGAGGUGUCUGCUCCAAGCAAAGCCUUCUCUGCACUCCCUCAUCGAAUAGACAAACCAUAAAAAAGACAGCAAAGAAAGAAAGACAGAGGGCUGGGUGCUGUGGCUCAUGGUUGUAAUCCCAGCACUUUGGGAGGCCGAGGUGGGCGGAUCACCUGAGAUCAGGAGUUGGAGACCAGCCUCACCAACAUGGUGAGACCCCUGUCUCUACUAAUAAUAAAAAAUUAGCUGGACAAGGUGGCAAGUGCCUGUAAUUCCAGCUACUAGGGAGGCUGAGGCGGGAGAAUCACUCGAACCCAUGAAGUGGAGGCUGCAGUGAGCCGAGAUUGCGCCAUUGCACUCCACCAGCCUGGGCAAUGGAGCAAGACUCUAGUCUCAAAAAAAAAAAAAAAAAGAAAAGAAAGAAAGAAAAGAAAAGGAAAAAAGAAAGUAAGAGAUAGCUCAAGAAGAAUUUUUGCCAAAAAUAAAUAAAUAAAUAAAUAAUAAAAUAAAAUAAAUACAAUAAUCUCCUUGGUAGAAACGGG